UACGUAGGGGGCAAGCGUUAUCCGGAUUUACUGGGUGUAAAGGGAGCGUAGACGGCGGUGCAAGCCAGAUGUGAAAGCCCGGGGCUCAACCCCGGGACUGCAUUUGGAACUGUGCUGCUAGAGUGUCGGAGAGGCAGGCGGAAUUCCUAGUGUAGCGGUGAAAUGCGUAGAUAUUAGGAGGAACACCAGUGGCGAAGGCGGCCUGCUGGACGAUGACUGACGUUGAGGCUCGAAAGCGUGGGGAGCAAAUAGG
rnacentral:rRNA from 1 species